GCCAACUUCACCAAGUAAAUGCCCAUUUGAUCUCUUCAAAAUGUUGAUUCUAGUGUUUGAAAUCGAUGUGAAGUGGUUGUUGGGGAGAUAUCCAAAUCAAGAGUGGUAGACCGGUGUGGAUCUUG